UGAACUUACGGACCAGGCCUACGGUCAAC
rnacentral:sRNA from 1 species